GACGAACGCUGGCGGCGUGCUUAACACAUGCAAGUCGAACGGAAAGGCCCUGCUUUUGUGGGGUGCUCGAGUGGCGAACGGGUGAGUAACACGUGAGUAACCUGCCCUUGACUUUGGGAUAACUUCAGGAAACUGGGGCUAAUACCGGAUAGGAGCUCCUGCUGCAUGGUGGGGGUUGGAAAGUUUCGGCGGUUGGGGAUGGACUCGCGGCUUAUCAGCUUGUUGGUGGGGUAGUGGCUUACCAAGGCUUUGACGGGUAGCCGGCCUGAGAGGGUGACCGGCCACAUUGGGACUGAGAUACGGCCCAGACUCCUACGGGAGGCAGCAGUGGGGAAUAUUGCACAAUGGGCGGAAGCCUGAUGCAGCAACGCCGCGUGCGGGAUGACGGCCUUCGGGUUGUAAACCGCUUCCGCCUGUGACGAAGCGUGAGUGACGGUAAUGGGUAAAGAAGCACCGGCUAACUACGUGCCAGCAGCCGCGGUGAUACGUAGGGUGCGAGCGUUGUCCGGAUUUAUUGGGCGUAAAGGGCUCGUAGGUGGUUGAUCGCGUCGGAAGUGUAAUCUUGGGGCUUAACCCUGAGCGUGCUUUCGAUACGGGUUGACUUGAGGAAGGUAGGGGAGAAUGGAAUUCCUGGUGGAGCGGUGGAAUGCGCAGAUAUCAGGAGGAACCACCAGUGGCGAAGGCGGUUCUCUGGGCCUUUCCUGACGCUGAGGAGCGAAAGCGUGGGGAGCGAACAGGCUUAGAUACCCUGGUAGUCCACGCUGUAAACGGUGGGUACUAGGUGUGGGGUCCAUUCCACGGGUUCCGUGCCGUAGCUAACGCUUUAAGUACCCCGCCUGGGGAGUACGGCCGCAAGGCUAAAACUCAAAGGAAUUGGCGGGGCCCCGCACAAGCGGCGGAGCAUGCGGAUUAAUUCGAUGCAACGCGUAGAACCUUACCUGGGUUUGACAUGGAUCGGGAGUGCUCAGAGAUGGGUGUGCCUCUUUUGGGGUCGGUUCACAGGUGGUGCAUGGCUGUCGUCAGCUCGUGUCGUGAGAUGUUGGGUUAAGUCCCGCAACGAGCGCAACCCUUGUUCACUGUUGUCAGCACGUUAUGGCGGGGACUCAGUGGAGACCGCCGGGGUCAACUCGGAGGAAGGUGGGGAUGACGUCAAGUCAUCAUGCCCCUUAUGUCCAGGGCUUCACGCAUGCUACAAUGGCUGGUACAGAGAGUGGCGAGCCUGUGAGGGUGAGCGAAUCUCGGAAAGCCGGUCUCAGUUCGGAUUGGGGUCUGCAACUCGACCUCAUGAAGUCGGAGUCGCUAGUAAUCGCAGAUCAGCAACGCUGCGGUGAAUACGUUCCCGGG
rnacentral:rRNA from 1 species